UCCUCCCGGCUCAGUCCCUCCCGGCUCCCUGCUCCUCCACCACCAUCUUACUGCAGUCAGCCCGAAGGCAGACAGCACCAGGGUAUAGUCGAACAGGUUUAUUUGAGAUCACUAAGUUUCAGAGUGUUGCCCCUCGGUCACGUGAAGUGAGAGAGAAACACACACACCGUUUGUGGUCAGAUAGAUCCAGGGCAGAGGGAUCAGAAGAUCAUAUAAAUGGUGUAAGUGGCGAGUGGAAUAUUGGUCUCUGCAGGUGACCAAGAGUGUUAGACGGUGUGAGUGAAGUGUCAACAGCUGAAUGACAAGCGAAGGGAUGAUCUGUACUCUCAUUAAAUGAGGCAGAAAGAUAAAUGCAAAAAAACUGAACAUAAGCUGCUACUGGAGACAAACCAAAUGGUUGGAAUAACAUGUCAGGCCAGAAGAGUCCACUUGUGACGGAUCAAAUUAUGAAUCAAAGAAUAUCGCGGAUUUACAGUCCAAGCUGAAUGCUAUUUGGCCGAAUCUUCGGACGUGCAGGAAUGAGAUAUUGUGGAGCGCACAGUGGAACAAACAUGGCCGCUGCUCGGUUCAGCGCUACUCCCAGCAUUGCUACUUCAAAACAACCAUCGAGAUGUACGAGAGGAUAUUUGAAAAAUGUGACAUGAGGAGCUCUCCGGAAGUAAUUCUGCGGUGUUUCAAGGAACAGAAAAUUCACCAUAAAACCAGGACUGUUCGUGGAGAAAUCAAAAUUUUAAAGCCUGAGAAUCUCCUCUAGGCCAGGAUUCACCAGAAUCCAAACAAACGCAAAAUCGCUGCAAUCCCUGCUCCAGGC